UUAGAUGGCUCGGCUGCUCUUUCACCUUCCUGCUUUCCUGAUCCUGCCGCCUGCGACCACCAGAAGCGGCAGGAACCUGUAGACUGGGCCCUCGGUACCUCGCGCGGAUGCCCUGGAAGGAAGUCCUCCUCCUCUGGCCCCGCCCACCGAGGCGGACGCGCCCGGGCUGCAGAGUGCUGAGCCCGGCCUUGGGGUCCGCUUCUCCCCAACAGCUGCUCCCUGCCCUCUCUGAGGUCUCGCCGACUGCAGCCCUUUUGUGUCAGAACGAAUUUUCUGCACAGUCAUUCCGCUCGCUGACCAGCAACAUGUUAUCCCUGCGGCCUGCCUGGAGACACUGGGAAACAGAUCCUGUUCUUCCAGAUACUACAUGUGAAAGAAUGGCCUCCAUCUCCCUGCAGAAGAUACUCUAGAGUUGAAACAGAAGCAUACACAUUUCCAAGGAACAGACGAAGGACUCCCAGUCGUAAACCCUUUUCUUUUAGACCUCCCUGUGAAAGAUGCUGGAUCCUCAGAAGAAGACAGUUCUGUUCCAUCACAGGUUGCUUUCACUCCUUAAACUCACACCACAGAACUCCAUGCCACACUGUUUGUGAUGACCAGUGACCCCUAUGUCCACAGCGCCAUCUAGCAUCCAACAAAACCGAGGCCCACAGACGAGCAAGGGUUCUGCAAAAAGAUGGAGGUUCAAGAGCGAGGACUUACUGUGUUCAUUUGAGCAAGAUGUUUUUCAAGUAUUUAUUUCAAAAACUGAAACAUACAGCUGCUGUAGGGAUAAUAUAAGUCAUGAUUCCAUGCAAAGACACAGGGAAGACUGGUCUAUGCCUACUUUUCCUGUGGAUUCCCACAGAUUUGCAAAAUGAAUGUACACAAGCAUCCUACACUUAUAGUCACAUCUACAGUUCAUAUCGGUGAAGCUAGGUCAGUUGACUGUACAAGGUCUUACAUUUACCCUUGAGCAACUAUGUUAAUACAAUUUUGCUCCUCAGUCACAGGGUAGAUUUUUAAAUAAAUGGAAUGUCUUAGACUAAAGGUCACAUUUCCCAGUGUGACAAAGCUGCACCAACAGCAGACAUAGAUCUGGGUGGGCCUCACGGUCCAUAGGAAGGGUGCCGUUUCCCAGCGCCCACGGUGUGCAGUGAGGAGGUCAUGUGGUGUGCGCUCUGCUGUAGCCAGCAGGGCGAAGGCCCUGGUGCAGGCCAAGCUGCAGUGAGUGUUGCCCUGCACUGCAGGGUUUCUUUUUGUGGGCUCUGGUCAGCUCUAGUCUCCCUUAAAGCGAUCCCUGGAAAUUUCCUAUUAGACACUUGCAUUUCGAAGACUAACGUGUAACCUAAGGUAAAGAAAUUUCCUCUUCGGGCUUCCUGUCAUUUUGGUUCUUGUUCUUUAACAUUCUGUUUAUUUUGUUUUGUGCUGUUUUGCUUUCCCCAGAAAACCACUUAUAGUAUUUUACACUUUCUCCUUGUUUGUAUUCAUAAAAACAUUAGCCCAAAACCAUAAUUUCAUACC